CCUACGGGGGGCAGCAGUGGGGAAUAUUGGACAAUGGGGGGAACCCUGAUCCAGCCAUGCCGCGUGUGUGAAGAAGGCCCUCGGGUUGUAAAGCACUUUCAGUGAGGAAGAACGCCUGGUGGUUAAUACCCAUCAGGAAAGACAUCACUCACAGAAGAAGCACCGGCUAACUCCGUGCCAGCAGCCGCGGUAAUACGGAGGGUGCGAGCGUUAAUCGGAAUUACUGGGCGUAAAGCGCGCGUAGGUGGCUUGAUAAGCCGGUUGUGAAAGCCCCGGGCUCAACCUGGGAACGGCAUCCGGAACUGUCAAGCUAGAGUGCAGGAGAGGACGGUAGAAUUCCCGGUGUAGCGGUGAAAUGCGUAGAGAUCGGGAGGAAUACCAGUGGCGAAGGCGGCCUUCUGGACUGACACUGACACUGAGGUGCGAAAGCGUGGGUAGCAAACAGGAUUAGAUACCCGAGUAGUC
rnacentral:rRNA from 1 species